GGGCUCGUAGCUCAGACUGGUUAGAGCACUUGGCUCUUAACCAAGGGGUCGGGGGAAGACUUUAGCGAAUAAUGUUAGGUCUCUCGAAUUCAAAUCCCCUCGAGCCCG
rnacentral:tRNA from 1 species